rnacentral:rRNA from 1 species
AUUGAACGCUGGCGGCAGGCCUAACACAUGCAAGUAGGACGAGCGGCGGACGGGUGAGUAAUGUCUGGGAACCUGCCUGAUGGAGGGGGAUAACGGAUGGAAACGGUAGCUAAUACCGCAUACCAUAAGAUGUGCCCAGAUGGGAUUAGCUAGUGGGUGGGGUAAUGGCUCACCUAGGCGACGAUCCCUAGCUGGGCUGAGAGGAUGACCAGCACGCAUGGAACUGAGACAAGUGCCAGACGCCUACGGGAGGCAGCAGUGGGGAAUAUUGCACAAUGGGCGAAAGCCUGAUGCAGCCAUGCCGCGUGUAUGAAGAAGGCCUUCGGGUUGUAAAGUACUUUCAGCGAGGAGGCGUUACUCGAAGAAGAAGCACCGGCUAACUCCGUGCCAGCAGCCGCGGUAAUUC